GCUAAGAAUCUUCCGCAAUGGGGGAAACCCUGACGGAGCGACGCCGCGUGGACGAUGGAGGCCGUAAGGUUGUAAAGUCCUUUUCCUGGUGAAGAAUAGCCCGAGGAGUGGAAAGCCUUGGGGAUGACGUUAGCCAGGGAAUAAGCCCCGGCCAAUUACGUGCCAGCAGCCGCGGUAAUACGUAUGGGGCAAGCGUUGUUCGGAGUUAUUGGGCGUAAAGGGCGUGUAGGCGGCUCAUCAAGUCUGGUGUGAAAAUGCAGGGCUUAACCCUGCAGAUGCGCUGGAAACUGGUGGGCUUGAGUUCCUGAGGGGAAGCUGGAAUUCCAGGUGUAGGAGUGAAAUCUGUAGAUAUCUGGAAGAACACCGGUGGCGAAGGCGAGCUUCUAUCAGAGGACUGACGCUGAGGCGCGAAAGCGUGGGGAGCAAACAGGAUUAGAUACCCUAGUAGUCC
rnacentral:rRNA from 1 species